rnacentral:lncRNA from 1 species
ACAUAUAACAUAUAACAUACCACAUAUAGCAUACAUAUCACAUAUCAUAUCCGACCUUCCGGUCACACAGUCAAACCCUUCCGGGUACAGUAUAGUGAGAAGACUCACCUCGCGGUCACUAGAAGAUAGCAACUCCUAAAAUCCCUUGCACUUGAUCCUCCGAGCUGCAAGCUCCCUGUAACAUCAUACAUCCCUUAUUUAAUACUUCUAUCUUCCACGUUAACUGACCCUAAGAAAUCACACCAGUCAACUCUGGUCAACAGUCCAUUGUCAGCUCGACUGGACUCGGCGAGUUCCCUGGCGACUCGGCGAGUCUGGUCGUCCUUCAAUCCUCUAAGAUUCCCCUUCUACUCGUCGAGUAUCCUCUUUGACUCGACGAGUCACUCCUGGAAGAAUCGCGGGGCCACCCCGACUCCACUCGCCGAGUCUGAAGAACAACUCGGCGAGUCCCAGUGAAUCUUCAAGCUACUCGCCGAGUCUGAUCAUCCGACUCGGCGAGUCUACGCCAUGCAGUCGAUCGAACUGCUUCCUGAGAUACAUAUAUUCUCGAAUAUACAAACAUGGGACCUUCUGGACCUCUAAGGGUCCUAAUACAAGGUUAUAAACGUUGAAUAACAACACAACAAUCCAUCUAGACUCCAAAUGGGUUCCAUAAACCCUAAAUCUAUAUACACAUCAAUCACAGGAGAAUGUAAUCCGAAUUAUUACCUGAAUGAUGUACCUUCCAUGUCCCCAAACUUCAGAACUCGAACUCCCUGCAGUUCCUUUAGCUAAAACCCUUCUCCUCCUUGCACAACAAUUCCUUCAAGGUCACCAAUGGCCUUCAAGCUUGCUCUAGCCGCUCCAGUCGCCUAGGGUUCUUCCCAAUCGAUCCAAAGUCGUGAAAUGACGGCAUAAUAACCCUUAUAUACGACCCAAUACUGAACGGCUAGGGUUUCCGCUGAACAGCGUCGACUCGCCGAGUCCAUAUCUGGACUCGUCGAGUCCAGUCGUGAACCCGCGACCAAACCUGCGACCCUACUCGGCGAGUCUGGCUCCAACUCGUCGAGUCUCCCCUUUAAAACACCCCCAAAAUGCAACUUAACAAUACUUGAGAUUUUGGGCUGUUACAAUUCUCCCCCACUAGAAUUAGACUUCGCCCUCGAAGUCUCACUCUGAAAAUAGCUCUGGCUGCUGCUCCCGCAUCUCACGUUUCGGCUUCCCUAGACACUACCGAUCUCUUCCGAGGCCGCUACUGAACCAAUACCAGAGGUACCUCCUUGUUCCUCAGAACCUUGAUCUUCCGAUCUCCGACGGCCACUGGCCUCUCGACGUAACACAGGCUCGCAUCCACCUAAUCGUUCUCUAGUAGAACCACUGCUGACUCAUCCGCUAUACACCUCUUCAACUGCGACACAUACCAGUGUCAUGGAUCCGUCCCAAUUCCGUUGACAGCUCCAAACGAUAGGCCACCCUUCCUACCUUCGCACCUUCACGAAAAGACCCAACAUACCGGGGCCCCCCAUUUACCCCUCUUCCUAAAUCGAAGCACCCCGUCAGAAAUACGAAGUCGCUGACCUGAAUCACAUGCUCGUAACGGCGUCUGCCUGCAUAACUUUCCUGUUAACUCUAGACGAUCACUAACUCUCUUUAACCUGCUGAGUCUGCUUUGUCAACUAAAGUACGAACUCUGAACUGCUCAUCACUCUCUGUAAUCGGAAAUUACCCAAGAUGCACUCUGCUCCAAAUCUCAACGAUCACUCAACCCAUAAGGGUUAGGAAACCCUGAACCACCGGAUCCCCGAUCCAAAGCCCACUUUGCCCAUUCCGGACCGACUGAGAGAUCCGUUCUCCCUCUCAGAUCAACUCUCACAAGUUCCCUCUUGCCAUCACAUACACAUACUGAACUAGUCCCAACACCCGCAGGUUGAAAGACCCGAUACACUGAUGAUAUCCUCGAACAUCUCCCAAGAUGAACCACUACAUCCACCCUACACUCUGAUCAGAUUCACACUGAGAAUUUAAAAUUUUCUCUCUCCAUGCAUCCCUUCUGAGCCUCAACAGACAUCCCAACCGGAUGGGUUCCUACUCCACUGCCGCGAACACGAUGCUCAAAACCAUACUCGAAAUACUCUAACCAUAACUCUGCUCUGCAGCUUUCACUUUCGUGAACUUGCACCCCCUUCGGAGUUACAUACCCUCCUCUUUUCCUUUUCCACGGAACUCUCUUGAACAUAAUGCCACUCCAACCGGUGCCACGGUGCUCGCCCCAAGCGACACCACCCUUUUUGCGUAACUGCUAUUCACAUACUCUGGUUCUCAUUGCAGGGGCUCUCAAUCCCAUGCACUCUCUCCACUCAUCAAAAUCACUGCCUCCGCUAAACAAGAUCAAUAACCCGGGGCCAGACCUUCCAAUGCAAUCACACUGCAACAUACGCGAUCCGCAAAUCUCAAACUAAUCCAGCAAUACCAACAGAGUCUCCAGUAUGACUGGACCGACUCUCAUAACACAUACUAGCCACUCGAGGCUAUAUCUCUGUGGGUCCGUACACCCAAACUCUGCGAACCCUCAGGUUCUAACUCUGGGAACCUUCCGGUUCCAGCUCUAGAAACAUGCACAACAUAAUCCCGUGGGAUUAAUGCAGUACAACCCAUCACGUACCUCAAACGUACCAAUACUCUGAUCGCAAAAUUCCGAUUACUUACUCAAGCUUGAUCCCGACCUCCUCUCAGGCCUCCACAAUCAAAUGCCCUAGGUCUGUAUCUCGCCCCGCAUACUCAACACUCGCUCUCGUCGGCCUAUACUUUGCGCUGACAAACACUGCUGAAUCCCAACAGCUAAGCACCCUUACAUACUCAUCGAUCUCCCGGAGAAUUUUACAAUUCUCCCCCACUAAAGCACUGACUAACUGCCACCGAUCGUCAUUAACGACCUUUCAGAACCAUCCUGCACAAAGAGAACAUUUACCCACUGACUGCUUCCCACAAGCGUAAGCAACCCUCAGCAAAACACAUCUCCUCCCUGAUCAAUCCGCUCAAAAGAAUCCGAUCUUUCAAUUAUCCACUCCACAACUGCAGAUGCUACCCGUCAUUCAACCCAGUGCCGCAUCUCCACUAUCAACCCUCACGAACGAUGACCAACGGAAUUCCCAAGCAAUAACCCAUAACCAAACCCACAACCUGCCAAAGGUUGAAUAUCGCAUCGAAAACCGCACAAGGCUACCGGUACCAAAACACCAAACUAUAAUCAUACUAAACCAUCAGGGAACAACGAAUGCCAAGCGAAAACCUGAAGCACCAAUCCAUAACCAUGCCAAACCCGCGAAACAACGAAUACCGCAUCGAAAUCCACACCAGACACCAGCACAAACAAUACGCCACAAUCAACGCAAGCUACUCAAGACAUCAAGAGAGCAUCAUACCCGCAGCUGCCUCCGGCACUGCUCCGUCUCCCUCUGCCGCAAGCCGAUAAGCACGACCCUGAGCCCUUGGGCUCUGCUCCAUCCUGUCCUCCUCCUGAACUCCUCAAGGUGGCCGAUGCUAGAGCCUGCACCGGUCCUGCAGGAAACUGUGGACGGUUGACCCUCAAAUGUCCAACCUGCCGACACUGAUAACAAAUCCUGAAAUCCCGAAUUGGCACUGACUGCCGACAAUCCCGUGCACCAUGCCCCUCCUUUCCGCACUUGCGGCAUGCACCACUGGGCCAACAAGCUCCGGUGCCAUCUCUCUCACACUUCCCACAAGUGUGACCGCUCCGAUCCCCCAUUCUAACGUCUACGGUCAUGGACCGUUUCGGCGCCGACUGCGACUGCAUCGGGGCCUGCCUCAUCUCACGCAACUGCAACUCAACCUCUAACUCACGCCACAUGGCGGCCUCCUGCGAUACCAACACGGUCUCGCGCCUCUGCGCAGACACGAACUGUCUGACCCCCCCCCUUGAGCAUACUCGGAUAUCGGGACAUCUGAGCCUGCUCCGAAGCGAACUCAGGGCAAAACAUCGCCCUCUCAAUAAACAUCCCGGUGCUCUCAGUCACCGACUCCAAAUCCUGCCUCAGCUUAAAGAACUUCCGAGCCAAUUUCUCCUUUUCAUCCCGCGGAACAUAGCGAGUACUGAACAUCCCUCUGAAUUGAUCCCAUGAAACCGCAGCCCUCUGCGCAUCGGAAAAUGACCUCGUGGUCAAUCUCCACCAAUCCUUCGCCCCGAGCCUCAAUAGGUUCAGAGCACACCCCACCCUCUGAUCAGCAGGGCAUAAACUCGUGGAGAAACACCCCUCCAUGUCUGAUAACCAUCUCAUAGCAACAAUCGAGUCCUGAACUCCAUCGAAUGUGGGAGGCUUCGCAUAAUAGAAGUCCCGAUACUGAAAACCCCGACUAGCCCCUUUCUUUGCCGUUGCUACAGCCGCUGUAACCGCCGCGGCAGCCGUCUCUGCGAAAGCCGCAUAUCGCUCAUCAAACUACUUCAAUCAUAGUGGUCCUGAUCGACCCAAACAAUUCUGGCGACUCAGCCCGCAACAAUGCAGCAACCUCAUCACGCCGGAUCUCGCGAAUCCUCGCAUCCCGCUCGCUCGUGCUCGUCCGAUCGAUAACCGGAUAACAAGAUAGCCACAAGCAUCAUCCACUACGAACCAUGGUACUCAUCCCAUGACAUCCUUCCUCAACAUGCUUCGGUGUAUGGUACCUGAACCAUAGCACCAUUCCUCAACCUGCUCCAAUGUAUAGCACUCGAACCACAACAUCUAUCUCAAUCUGUUCCGAUGUAUGGUGCCCUGACCAUAACAUCACUCUGUAUCCGCUCCGAUGUAUGGUAUCCGAACCAUAACAUCACCCCUCAAUCUGUUCCUUAGGACCUUCAGAAUGCCCCCUGUAUCAAGUAUGGGUCCUCUGCUUUCAGUAGUACGGGCCCAUACUACCUGCCACAUCUACCCAUACUUUCCACACGGACCAUCCCAGAGUUCCUAAGUAGCUGAUAAACCUGCUCUUUCACCCAUCUCAUCGCGCGUGCUCGCUUUCCAGCGAAAUCCUCUACUCUACCAGCGCACUCAUCUGGCUAGGUUUACUCCCUAGUCCCUUCCGCUGUCCUCCCACUUCUUUGCUAUCAGCUGCUGAAGAGUUCCUAAUGAUGCCAGCCCUCUACCUCCUGAGUAUCGUCAUACUCACUUGGUAGCUGACUCCCAUCAUCGAUAACUCCACAAAGCACAAAGCAAGCAGCAUUCGAGCAUUGAAGCAUACAUAGGACUCCCCAUCUGUGGUAGCUCCACCUUCUCGGCUCAUCCUCGGAAGUACCUCUGUACCCCGUAGCUUUACCCCUUGUGCGUUCUAACUAGAUACUCUCACUCAUCACAUACACACAAAAGCAUAACGCACAUAUAACAGCAAACCCUAGACUAAGGCAUCACAAAUCAGGCCACUCUAGUCCUAAGAUGUGAAAUACCUAGCCUGUCUCUAGCAUGCAAUAAUGUCUCAUAAAGUGCAUAAUAGAUAUUUCAUAAUACAAAAGUAAGGGUAUUUUGGGAAAUCACCGUUUGGCUCUGGCUGAUUGUACACACUGCUCUUUCUUGCUUUCUCUUUGAACUCUUAUUCACUUUUAGAAAACCAUUUAUUUGGAAAACUUUUUCUUACUUCCUCAGUUUGAGUCCAGAUUUACCCGUAGGCGCGUCCGAAUCCCUCAAACCAAGGCUCUGAUACCAAUUUGUAACACCGUGAUUUCCAAAAACAAAAUUUUCAUUUAAAUAAUCAAUUUAAUAUUAAAAACACUUGUUUAAAAUCUUAUUCACAUUCGAAUUACAAAACAUAGUUUCAUUUUCAUUAUAAUAGAAGACCAGGAUCCUCCAAAACACAACUCUUUCUUCGGUGUGUACAAUCGAACCGUUGCCAUCCCGCGUUACUGUAAGAACCUGAAACAACAUAACAUAAACAACGUAAGCACGAAGCUUAGUGAGUUCCCCAAUAUACCUUACGCACAUACGCCUUCCGGCCCGGAUCUUUCGAUCCACAUAAUAUCGCCUUCCGGCCCGGAUCUUUCGAUCCACAUAACAUCGCCUUCCGGCCCGGAUCUUUCGAUCCACAUAACAUUGCCUUCCGGCCCGGAUCUUUCGAUCCACAUAACAUUGCCUUCCGGCCCGGACCUUUCGGUCCACAAGAUAAUUGCCUUCCGGCCCAUACACAUAUAUAACACAUAAUACAAAUACUCUAACACAUAAAGCACAUAUAUCAUAUAUCAUACCUGACCUUUCUGUCACAUAAUACCUUGCCUUCCGGCCCAUAUAUAAGCAUGUAUAUCACGCGUAGCAACUAACUUUCCAUUCAUAGCAUAUAAACAUAACACACAACAUACUUGACCUUCCGGUCACACAAUCAAACCCUUCCGGGUAAAGUAUAGUGAGAAGACUCACCUCGCGGUCACUAGAAGAUAGCAACUCCUAAAAUCCCUUGCACUUGAUCCUCCGAGCUGCAAGCUCCCUGUAACAUCAUAUAUCCCUUAUUUAAUACUUCUAUCUUCCACGUUAACUGACCCUAAGAAAUCACACCAGUCAACUCUGGUCAACAGUCCAUUGUCAGCUCGACUGGACUCGGCGAGUUCCCUGGCGACUCGGCGAGUCUGGUCGUCCUUCAAUCCUCUAAGAUUCCCCUUCUACUCGUCGAGUAUCCUCUUUGACUCGACGAGUCACUCCUGGAAGAAUCGCGGGGCCACCCCGACUCCACUCGCCGAGUCUGAAGAACAACUCGGCGAGUCCCAGUGAAUCUUCAAGCUACUCGCCGAGUCUGAUCAUCCGACUCGGCGAGUCCACGCCAUGCAGUCGAUCGAACUGCUUCCUGAGAUACAUAUAUUCCCGAAAAACACACUCAUGGGACUUCUGGACCUCUAAUCAUCCUAUUACCAGGGUAUAAACUUUUGUAUAACAACAUAACAAUCCAUCUAGACUCCAAAUGGGUUUCACAAACCCUAAAUCCAUGCACACAUUCACAUAACAGGAAAUAAUCCGAAAGAUUACCUGAAUC